UCGACGCGGCGCCACUGCGCUAUUGGACUGUGGCAAACUGAUGCCGUCCAGUGGAGCUUCGUAUGGGAACCACUGCUGCUUACCUGGUGCCACAACAUUGGAUGAAGGCGUCAAAAGCCCGGAACGAACCUUUAUAGUCAGCAAAAUAAGCAUUUCCUCAUUUCA
rnacentral:lncRNA from 1 species